UGGGGAAUAUUGCACAAUGGGCGAAAGCCUGAUGCAGCGACGCCGCGUGAGGGAUGACGGCCUUCGGGUUGUAAACCUCUUUCAGCAGGGACGAAGCGCAAGAGACGGUACCUGCAGAAGAAGCACCGGCUAACUACGUGCCAGCAGCCGCGGUAAUACGUAGGGUGCAAGCGUUGUCCGGAAUUACUGGGCGUAAAGAGUUCGUAGGCGGUUUGUCGCGUCGUUUGUGAAAACCAGCCGCUUAACUGGUGGCUUGCAGGCGAUACGGGCAGACUUGAGUACUGCAGGGGAGACUGGAAUUCCUGGUGUAGCGGUGAAAUGCGCAGAUAUCAGGAGGAACACCGGUGGCGAAGGCGGGUCUCUGGGCAGUAACUGACGCUGAGGAACGAAAGCGUGGGUAGCGAACAGG
rnacentral:rRNA from 1 species